rnacentral:rRNA from 1 species
UACAGAGGGUGCAAGCGUUAAUCGGAAUUAUUGGGCGUAAAGCGUGCGUAGACGGUCAUGUAAGUCGGGUGUGAAAGCCCCGGGCUCAACCUGGGAAUUGCAUUCGAGACUGCAUGGCUAGGGUGCGGAAGAGGGAAGCGGAAUUUCCGGUGUAGCGGUGAAAUGCGUAGAUAUCGGAAGGAACACCAGUGGCGAAAGCGGCUUCCUGGUCCAGCACCGACGUCAGGCACGAAAGCGUGGGGAGCAAACAGG